UGAUUUUCCAUUAUAGCUUUAAAACAAGAACUGAGAUCUUGUGUUAAUUAAGUGCAGCAUUACUCUGUACUUUUUAUGGAUUGGACAUGUACUAGAGCAAUGCCUACCCUUCUGAACUCCUUCCUGUUGCAUAUCAGACAAGUGGUAUCACUAUUAUCUUUUUGGUGCCUAUCAAAGACCUUCCUUUCCCAAUAAGCCCAAGUAAAGAUUUUUAUCCAAGUCUGAUUAUGUAUUGGAUUUCAAAUUGUUUGUUUUUAUACAUGUUUCAUUGUUUCUGUUUUUAUAGUUGAAUCACUUUGGGAUGUUUUAUGAGAAGCAAUUCAGAAAUGAUAUAAAUAAUCUCAAUUGAGUAAAAUGGCACUUGUUUAUA